rnacentral:rRNA from 1 species
GCUGGCGGCGUGCCUAAUACAUGCAAGUCGAACGGUCUUUCUAUGGAAGCUUGCUUCCACUGAGAAGAUAGUGGCGAACGGGUGAGUAACACGUGGGUAACCUGCCCAUAAGAGGGGGGAUAACAUCCGGAAACGGGUGCUAAUACCGCAUAGUUUUCUUGAUCGCAUGAUCGGGAAAGGAAAGACGGCCUUUGUGCUGUCGCUUAUGGAUGGACCCGCGGCGUAUUAGUUAGUUGGUGAGGUAACGGCUCACCAAGACGAUGAUACGUAGCCGACCUGAGAGGGUGAUCGGCCACAUUGGGACUGAGACACGGCCCAAACUCCUACGGGAGGCAGCAGUAGGGAAUCUUCCGCAAUGGACGAAAGUCUGACGGAGCAACGCCGCGUGAGUGAAGAAAGGUUUUCGGAUCGUAAAACUCUGUUGUCAGAGAAGAACAAGUUGGAGAGUAACUGCUCCAGCCUUGACGGUAUCUGACCAGAAAGCCACGGCUAACUACGUGCCAGCCGCAGC